rnacentral:rRNA from 2 species
AAGGAUCAUUGCACACACAAA